CUGAGUUUGGCUAGUCUCUGUGUCCCAGAGAGCUGAUGGAUCCCAGAGCUAAGCACCCAGGAGGCAAUAGUGGAAGGAGCCCAUAUUCCCAGUCCCCAAACCAUUUCACCCAAAGCUGCAUUGCUGGGCAGGGAAAGGAACUCUGGGGAGACAAGACUUCAUCCUGGCAGCUCCCUCACAUUCCCUGGGAGCCAAGGCACCAAUGUCCAGGGUUUAGAUCUGCAGCACCUGCUCUGCUGGAUUUCCAGCUGGAGGCCAGUUUGCUGCCUUAGUUUUUGCAGUGCCUAAUCCUUCCUAGAUAUGUUCCUAAGAAAUGUAUGGAUCCCAGGUCUCAGUUAGCCUGCAGUUUUGAUCCACAGCUGGUUGGAUCACUGGUGGGUUCAGCAAAAGGGGCAGAAGCAAUUUCCUCCUGUGACAUAAGAAGCACCCCAACCUCCACCUCUGACCUUAGAUUUUCCUCAUUGUCUGGGCCAGGUGCCAAAGGAUCUUUUUUUUUCAGAGUUAAUCUUCAAAAUCUCAUGAGAAAACAGGGAUGUGCAGGAGAUCAAGGAAGAGGAGGGUCUGAAGUGGGAAUCCAGACCAAAAGUGUGGUGCUCCAUAGUGGAGUUCAUACUGUCCUGUGGGAUCCCCUCCACCAGGCAAGACCAAAAAGUCCAGCAUCUUAUCUUUUGCUAAAAGUCUCAAGGAAGGUAUGUUCUUCUCCAGGACUGUAGCAAACUGGAUCAGCAAGGCUAGGCUUAGCUACAGGCCAUGACUGUCAAACCCCAGGCCUGGACUCUGUGACCUGAAGCUUUCCUACCUCCUCAAUCACAAUGACAAACAUUUAGGAGCUGAGCAGUUUAGUAUGUUCCAUAAAGACAGUUAAUAUCCCAUGAGAUUUUACUCCCAAGUUAAUCCCUAGCUCUUUCUGGGGAGAAAUAGAUCAGAAAACAACCAAGACAACAGCCACCAUUUUGUGACACAUGAUGCUUAUUCACUCACAUCAAAACACUUCAAUAAACUCUUUUUCUUGAGUUACCA
rnacentral:lncRNA from 1 species